rnacentral:misc_RNA from 1 species
GAUGAAGAACGCAGCGAAAUGCGAUACUUGGUGUGAAUUGCAGAAUCCCGUGAACCAUCGAGUCUUUGAACGCAAGUUGCGCCCGAAGCCAUCAGGUUGAGGGCACGUCUGCCUGGGCGUCACAUAUCGUUGCUCGAUGCCUAUCGCAUUGCGAUAGGACUUAGGGCGAAUGAUGGCUUCCCGUGAGCGUUGUUGCCUCGCGGUUGGUUGAAAAUCGAGUCCUUGGUAGGGUGUGCCAUGAUAGAUGGUGGUCGAGUUAGCACUAGACCGAUCAUGUGCAUGCUCCCCAAAAUAUGGCCUCUGUGACCCACACGCGUCUUUUGACGCUCAUGACGAGACCUCAGGUCAGGCGGGGCUACCCGCUGAAUUUAAGCAUAUCAAUAAGCGGAGGA